rnacentral:lncRNA from 1 species
AGAAAGUGAAAAGAGACUGUUUUAUCUCUACUCACCUGUUUUCUUUCAUUCUUUUCUCCCUCUUAACAUAUUAAAUUUAGAAAUACAGAAUUCUUUCUUCAUGUACAUUACCCAAGAGUUUCCUUUACCUACCCUCCUCCAAAUGACUGAGCUCUCAAAGACUAGAGAGAAGUCAGGGUAGAGGCUAAUAUUUUCUUCAGACUUGAUGAUUCAUGCAAGCCUUUUACAUAAGAGAGCUCACUUUGUUUUUGGGAAAACUGGGGUGAGGGACAUUGAUGGCUCACCCAACCCUUCUGAUCACAAUCUAGGCCCUCUGACCCAAAUCUUGACCUGUUUUCAUUUUAUAAUUUUCUUUUUUUCCCAAAAGGCAUUCCUUUAGUUAGAUGGAGAAGUUAUCAGAAACCUGGGAGAAAAGAAAAUACUCAGAGAAAGCCUAAGCGACCGUAUACACUGGGAGCUGAGGGUCCAUUAGCUCUCCUUGCAAGGAAGCUUCAGUUUUCUCAUCUGGAAAAGGGGGAUAAUAGCAGAAGCCACCUCUUCAGACUAGCUUCUCAGCAUUACAGCUGAGAAAGUUCUCAACAUUUUACACAGAGAGAUGCAUUAUACUAUGUUUUAUAAUUUGUCCUCUCAACUCUUACUUAAAACAACCUUCUUAAAAAAAUAAACACAUUUGCUCAAAAUGACACCACACAUUUGAAAAGAUUAUUUCUCAUCUCUAUACAUGAUAUAGUAGCUGUGCUGAGCUCUGGGCCAAAGACUGCUCCAGAAUUGGAAAACAUGUUCUACCCACUUGUGACUCUCCCUAGCCAAGAGCCAGACCUUGUCUUCAAUUCCAUGGCUUUCCCUUCGUUUGAAGGUUAAAGUCAGCAUUUCACUUUUACUGCUGUUAAUAACUCCCAACUUUUCCAUAUUUCCAUUUUUUUCUAAACUCUUUACUACAUGCUAACACUGCCUUCAUUUUUUCUCUGCCCUCUUCCUGAGGUCACUUGGUCCUAGAAGCCUCAGGUUCCAAAUGUUUUUGCAACCUCCCCUUUACCCUCCCCGGUAACAUGCUGUUCACCAUUCCACUUUCUGAUUUCCUUUUCUGUUCCUUUAGUAGUCUCUGCACUUCCCCUCCUCUCCCAUCUGUAAAGCCAUCUUUCUUCCAAGUGAUGUUCUCCAGGUGACCUGAAUCUGGCAGAAGCCUCCUCCAUCCAUCUUUUUAGAAGGACCCUCAGUUGCCAGAGCCAGUCUGACACCUUCUUCCAUACCAGCUGCUUCAGACCAGCCUGGGGGCCUGCUCUGGGGGUGGAACCAUUGUCAAGUUUCACCCAUCAGCUAAAAACAUGCCACUUGGAUUCAUUGCAGGUAACCAAGAAAGUCAUACUCUUUAAGCUCACCAACAUAGUUACAUAGUUCAUAAAAAAUAUUGCUCCAUUUUCCAAGGGACUUUCUUAGUUGACGAGUGGGAGCAGAGGUCCCCAUAAUCAGCAGCUGGUUUGCUCAUUGCUGGGAAACACAGAAGACAGGUCGGUCACUGGACAGGGGGUGCAGAACCCAGCGCUGGAGUGCACAGAGGAUGCAGACACACACAGAGAGAAGAACGUGUAAGAUGUCCAUCUGCAAGACAAGGAGAGAGGCUUCAGGAGAAAGCAACCCUGCUCACACUUUGAUCACAGACUUGUGGCCUCCAGAAUGGUAUAAACUCAAGAGUGAACUCUUUAUGCCAUGUAAGCCACACAGGCUGCAGGUAUUAGAAAAAGAGCUGCAGUACUCUUCUGAAAAGUCAUCUCUG